rnacentral:rRNA from 1 species
GAUGAACGCUAGCGGCAGGCUUAACACAUGCAAGUCGAACGGCAGCACAGGUAGCAAUACUGGGUGGCGAGUGGCGCACGGGUGCGUAACGCGUAUGCAACCUACCUCUAUCUGGGAGAUAGCCCGAAGAAAUUCGGAUUAAUACCCCAUAAUAUAUGUCUUUCGCAUGUUAGACAUAUUAAAGCUUUGGCGGAUAGAGAUGGGCAUGCGUGACAUUAGCUAGUUGGUAAGGUAACGGCUUACCAAGGCUACGAUGUCUAGGGGGUCUGAGAGGAUUAUCCCCCACACUGGUACUGAGACACGGACCAGACUCCUACGGGAGGCAGCAGUGAGGAAUAUUGGACAAUGGGCGAAAGCCUGAUCCAGCCAUGCCGCGUGCAGGAAGACGGCCCUAUGGGUUGUAAACUGCUUUUAUAUGGGAAUAAACCUCCGAACGUGUUCGGAGCUGAAGGUACCAUACGAAUAAGGAUCGGCUAACUCCGU